rnacentral:lncRNA from 1 species
GGGGCGUAUCAGUUUGGAAUCUUGGCAUGGUUGAUAAGAAAUUUCCAAAGGAACUUGCAACAUAGAAGGAUCGCUUAUAUUUUGCUCAAGCAAAAAAAAAAACAAAGGCUCAGUUGUUCAAAUGAGAGGAUCAGUAUCAAUGGCUUCCAAUAUCUGCUUGAGGAUGUGGAUUGGUUACAGGAUUCAAGUGUCAUCAGAAACUCAGUAAUUGAUGGUUUUGCCCACAAUUAUAGAAAACUACAGACAGUAAAUCUUAGUAAUCCAACAGCAGCAUUGUCCAUUGAACAUCACUUUCCUCGCUGCUAGUCAUUGAUACUGCAGGCAGGACUACAGGCAAUUGUCCACCAUAUAUCGAAGUAUGUUAAAAUCUCAAGGCCAAAUCAGUCAUCUUGUGUUAAAUCUUCGCCUUCCAAGAAAAUCCUUACCUAAUAUCCUUAUGUCAUUUCAGUGGACCGCAGGAUUUCUCUACUCUUCUCGAGAAAGUCUAGCUGUGUUUCGUUGUCAUCUUCCACGACAACAGGAACUGGUGUCACUCUCCCAAAUUUAAAUGGGCUCC